UACGGAGGGUGCAAGCGUUAUCCGGAUUCACUGGGUUUAAAGGGUGCGUAGGUGGGUUGGUAAGUCAGUGGUGAAAUCUCCGAGCUUAACUUGGAAACUGCCAUUGAUACUAUCAGUCUUGAAUACCGUGGAGGUCAGCGGAAUAUGUCAUGUAGCGGUGAAAUGCUUAGAUAUGACAUAGAACACCAAUUGCGAAGGCAGCUGGCUACAUGAAUAUUGACACUGAGGCACGAAAGCGUGGGGAUCAAACAGG
rnacentral:rRNA from 1 species